rnacentral:rRNA from 1 species
UGGGGAAUAUUGCACAAUGGGGGAAACCCUGAUGCAGCGACGCCGCGUGAGUGAAGAAGGUCUUCGGAUCGUAAAACUCUGUCCUUGGUGAAGAAAAAAAUGACGGUAGCCAAGGAGGAAGCCCCGGCUAACUACGUG